UUGUCUGCUUAGCACUACUGAGUCCUUGCUUAACUGGCUUGUUGAGGACUGGAGGCUGAGCUGGACUUAUUAUAGGUGCCACGCCUACACUCUGGGCCCCACGUAACUGUGCUUUUGUUUUGGUAGAAAAGACAGCAAAGUGGAGCAACUCACCACCAACAUGGCCCAAGAUGGGGCUUUAGAGCGUCUGGUGACCCUGUGCCUGGCUUUCCUUUUUGUGUUUCCUACAGUCCCUUCUGGAGAGGGAUGGAACCCACACAGGAUGGCUCAGGGCUGGCACCUCGGCCUGGAGGUGACGAAG
rnacentral:lncRNA from 1 species